UGCAGGUAUUGGUUAACACUGAAGAUGGAAGGUCAAAACUGGAGAAAUUGACACAUCAAGCACAGGUGACGUCACACAUGACCAAGUACUAGGGCCUAGGACUUCUUCCUGCAUGGUGAGGCACUGAAACCCUGUGGCAUAUCACCUACUCCAUAUGCAGUGUACUUGGAGCCAGUGUGCUGGGACAUUAUGAUGGACCCUCUUUUGGUUCUCCAAGAAGUGUCACAGAGGAGCCCAGGCAGAUGGAGGAUGAUAACUUCCCAGUGUCAAGUCUCCAUGGGCGCAAAACCACAGCAUGGUCAUGAGUGGAAAGAUGCUACAUCGGCUUUGUUUUAAAUUGACAGAUUAGUCACCGGAGUUUGAAGGACUGACAUAAACAUAUGAUGGUCUUUGUACCAACUGUUUGAAGUAACUCCCAUUAAAGUAUUUUGAGCUGAAAAUUGUUGUAGUACAAUUUUUGUAAUGCCAUUCAUUUGGUCAACAUUAAAUCCCUGGAUGUAUUAAGAGAUUUGAGUACUAAUGUGUCUGUGUCCUAUAUAUUUUGCUAAACCUGCCUCAGUUUUGCCCUCUAGUGGCUAAAAUGAGCAGCUAGUGUUCAGUUUGAGGUGGCUUUUUUUUUUUUUUUUUUUUAAAGUCAACUCUCUAAAAGUACACCAACACCCCACCCUUUCAUCCAACGGUAACAAAACAAACCACCCACACCAAAGUUGUAUGUUUUAAAAUUAAAUAUUUGGAGAAGCUUAGACUGGUAGCAAAAUAAACUCGUGAAGGUGCCCAAAGACAAAAUGUUUUAAAUCCAGUCAUCUGACAAAUGGACAAUAAAGCCUUGCAACAACUU